rnacentral:lncRNA from 1 species
AGGGUUAUACUACAUAUAUUAUUUGCAGGGUAUCAAUUCUCUGCCACAGAUAGAUGAUAUGCGUACUGAAAAAACAGAGUUUAUUGCAUUACAUAGAGCACCAUAUUUACACAUACUAAUAAACAAAAUGAAUAUAUCUACUUAGACAAGUGGAAUUUGAAAGAAUUGAGGACACCUCUACACGUUCAGCUGAUCACCUAAUAUACAUCAAUAUAAUAUGUAAACUAUACUCCAUCUUCAUGCAUUCCCCUCAUUGUUUGACUGUCCUCAUAUCUGCAGUAGCAAAGCUAUCAAAAGUAUUCAGAACCACUACAACAACAACAUAUCCAGUGUAAUCCCACAAGUGAGGUCUGGAUGGGGUAAAAUGUACACUGACCUAAAUCCUACCUUUGUGGGGUAGAGAAGCUGUUUCCGAUAGACCCUCAGCUCAAAAGGGAAGUGAUAACUAAAGGAUUGAAAAAUUCUGAUAUGACCCUUGUGAAUAUGAAAGGAGUCAAGCACACUGUUUGUCUAGAUGCCAAGAUGACCUCCUUGAUUCCUGUUCAAUUCUCAAAUGAAUAGUAGCUCAGUUGGUUGGCUACCUACCUGAACGUUCACCUUGUAGGUAAGGGUUCAAUUCCACACCUUGUAAUCCCCUACCCCCAAUUUAAAAAAAGAUAUCGCAGAUGAAAAGUUUUACCUAGAGAAGAAAGAAUAUUUUGAAGAAAAGGAUAACUUAGUCUUAUGAACAAUAGGUUCAGGACAACUAUGUGAUUGCAGAAGUGAUCCAAUGCAGGACAACAAUUACCCCAAAUGAUCCAGCUUU